ACAAAAAUAAUACAGAUAAUAAAGUUGAAAAGUCAGCAGACAUAGGUUGCUCAAGUGAACCGUAACUCACCUCCCUCAAGCUGUCUAGUAACUUAAGUUUCUGAGUCAAUACGUUGCUUCAAUUUAAUCUUCCUUGCAUUUUCCUUCUUCCAACGGCACCCAACUCCAAAGACUGAUCAUCAUCAUCAGCGUCAUCUUUUAUAUUACUUUUUGACUUAACAAACAAUUUUCUUAAUCUAGCAAAAAAAGAUGAAGGAAAAUCAGGUGUUACUGACUGCUAUUUUGUUAGCCAAGUGUCAUGUUAACCAAUUAAAUGACUAUAGAAAUUCUAAUAUUUUUCAGAAAAGAAAAGUAUUAUUAGCCAUAAGCAAAUAGAGAAACUUGGAUGAUUUUAGCCAAUACCCAUCAUUACCCAUUUGAAGAUUGCUUGUUAUCAAGUGAAGUUGAAUCGAAAAACUUGGAUGAUUUUAGCCAAUACCCAUCAUUACCCAUUUGAAGACUGCUUGUUAUUAAGUGAAGUUGAAUCGGCCAAAGUCUGUCCAUCGAAUUUGGGUGAAACCAUGUGUUUGGGGAAGAAAUGGAACGCUAGUAACAGAGCGCCUAGUGUUGAUGAAGAGUUUUAUGAUAGCAAAAUGUCGCCAGGGGAUAUUGGUUUAUGCUGGUUAUACUAGGUAAUUAAAAUGGUACGCGGGUUUCACCAUGUUUUUUUUUUUUUUUUAAAGAAAAGGAGAAAUUCGUUAAACAGACAAAUGAGAAAGUAA
rnacentral:lncRNA from 1 species